GGGGGAAUUGUCAAAGGUAGGGCAGCAUAUUUGCAGUUUGCUUUUGUAGGUUCAAUUCCUGCUUCCCCCA
rnacentral:tRNA from 1 species